CGAGGGUAAGGAUGCGCAGGACAAGCCGCCUCCGCCGCUCUCUGGGAAGAGAAAGAAAAAAAGAACGAGAGAAAAAAAAGAUGAGAGAGAAAAAGAUAUAAGGAUAUUUUGAAGAGAGAAAAAGGUAUAAGGAUAUUUUGAUUAGUUUGCUAAAAAAGCGGACCGAAUCUGCAAAAAUAAAAAAGGUGGCCCGAUUUUGCAAAAGCCCAAAAUAAGUGAUUUUUUUAUGCAAAUUGGUCAAUUUUAAAUUUAAAAAUUUUAAAAUAUUAAAUUUAAAAUUUAAAAUUAUAAAUUAUAAAUUUUAAUUUUAACUUUUUUAAAUUUUAAAUUUUAAAAAUAAAAUCACAC
rnacentral:lncRNA from 1 species